AAGAGGAAGGGGAAACCCUCGCCUGCAUCUCUGCAGCCGCCACCCCCUUUCUUGAUCUGCUCAUCAAAGAUCAGAUCCGCCACCGUGUGCCACCGCCUUCGUGCUCUAUCGAAUCUAUCUCGUGUACAUGUUAGACCUCCACUAUUAAGUCAAUCUAGCUAGGGCGGCCGGUGAAGGCGGCGCCACCGCUGCCGUCGCGGACAACGGCGAAGAGGUAGGGGUUGAUGCGGCCUGCGGGUGCUGCGGCAGGUGUGUGCGUGUGCGAUGGGUGGGGUAACUGGGUGUAUGGGGUUCCGUGUAUCCAUCUGAUCCAGAAGGCAGGCAGCAUCCUGCUCAACGCCAAUCCGCUCUUUCAGGAAAGAUAUUAUGUUGAGUAUACCUCUAUGACUGCGAAAGAUCAUUUUUAAGAACGAGAUGCAGAAAAUGUAGAGCUCAAUGAAGAUGGUUUACAAGGUCCACCAAAGAUCCAUAAUAUAUUAACAGGGAUGCCACAUGAAAACAAGAUCACUAAGGCAUAUUCACGGCUUUUACUCAGUUAUGACAUUGCGCCUAUUUGUUUAGCAUGAACUGAACUACGCUUCAACUGUUGGAAGGACACAAAAAAUGUAUGCUAAAGAACAUCAGGGUUGUGUACCAAGUUAGGAGAUUACUAAGCAGCAAUGUCCUGAAAAUAUUGGCAAAGAGAGCUAUGUCAAUUCAUCUUUAGGAUGUCGGUGCAUAACUGUCAUAGAUGCUUUGGGGGAUGUUAUUGCUUGCCCUAGGUUCUGUAUCAAAAAGAAGAAAUCGAGCUCAAACCAGACAAAUAAUAACCUGGUAAAAUCUGGAGCUAAAUAGGACUGAAAUGAAUGAAGAUGGAGAGGGCAAAGCAUUUGUUUCCGCCUCAAUAAAUCAAUGGAGAGAUAUUUGCUGUCAUUUUUGAGAGAUAAUUGUUAUAUAGGAUUUUUAUGAUUUUUCUGUUCAGGAUCUUUCCCGAUGUAUCUGUGAAUUAUUGAUAUGAAUAUUCUAUUCAGUUUUGAAUUUCUUUUAGUAUUAAUGAAUUUAUUACGGUUUGCU